CAGCACCUGGCCUUGGUGCUUGGAGGAGACCCAAGACAUCCUAUUGCAGAGGUACCACAGGGGUGCUGCUAUGGGGUGCAGAGUGCAGCUCACCAGCUGCAGGAUGAGGCAGUGACCGCCAGAGGAAGAGCCAGAGGAGUCCAGUCCAGUAUGUGUGGAGUGCAAGUAGAGGAAAGGCUGCAGGAAACCCUGUCAAUGAGAAGAGUUGUUUUAGACAAUUACAGAUGACAGGAGUCAUGAAAAUAAGAGAAUUUAGUUCUCAGUAUACAUGGGGAGAAAGCAGCCACAUGGUCCCCAGGGACCUGCUUUUCCACACCAUGGCCCUGCCACAGCCUUGCAAAUGUGGAGCUGCGAGUCCAAGGUCUACUAGAGGUCUGUCUGUCUGCUUUCACUGUGCUCUGCUCUACCUUUGAGUCAUCGUCUCCAUCCCCAUCUGCAGGCUGCAGGAACCAUGCACUGGGAAGAGAGCCAAUUGGGAACCCCACUGGAAAGUGUGUGUGUUUUCAUUUCCUGAAAGACUUUAAAAUUCAAAUGGUGUUUGCCUUGUGCAUGACCUGUCCCCACCCCUGCUUUUUCUCUUCUGCACCCACAGUGCUUCUCCUUCCUUGUAGCCAGUUCUCCUCUGGCCAACAGCAUGAGCAGGGAUCAUACCUGGCAAGUACACACGUUGAUGUUUUCCCGGGUCUGUGUCUGGCUGAGCUCGCUCAGUUCACGUGAGAGCAAGGAGCCUUCCUGUGAAAAACUCAUGUCUAGGGCUCACAACUGGAAUUCACUGAUAGGUUUUGGGGGUUUCAUGGUUCCCUCAUUCCUCACAUUGUGUGCAAAAUUCUGUGUUCUCUGUGUAGCAUUUCAUUACUUUUCCUAGGUCCUCAAAGCAUCCCCAGAAGGUUAACAUCUGCAUGAACACCGGAGGCCCAUCUCUUGAAGGUCAGCGGCAGCUGAACUCUGAAUGGAGCUGGAGGCCAAGUGUCAUAAGGGCCGGGACCAGCACCAGAGUGGAGCAGAGUGAAGGGGCAGCUCCUGUUGGCCUUUACAAACUUCUUU
rnacentral:lncRNA from 1 species